CCGAGUUAGGGUGCCCCAGGCGCCCGACCUCCAACCCUAUGUCUACCUAACCUAUUGUUGCUUCGGCAGGCCCGCCGCCGCCCUCCGUGGCGGUGGCCGCCGGGGGUCCUCGACCCCGGGCCCGCGCCUGCCGACGGCCCCAACCAAAAACUCUUUGCCGAAACGUGUCGUCUGAGUACCCCAAACAAAAUAAAAACA
rnacentral:misc_RNA from 1 species